UACAGAGGGUGCAAGCGUUAAUCGGAAUUACUGGGCGUAAAGGGUGCGUAGGUGGUUUGAUAAGUUAGAUGUGAAAGUCCUGGGCUCAACCUGGGAUUGGCGUCUGAUACUGUCAGGCUAGAGUUCUGUAGAGGAAGGUGGAAUUUCCGGAGUAGCGGUGAAAUGCGUAGAUAUCGGAAGGAACAUCGGUGGCGAAAGCGGCCUUCUGGACAGGAACUGACACUGAGGCACGAAAGCGUGGGGGAGCAAACAGGG
rnacentral:rRNA from 1 species